rnacentral:lncRNA from 1 species
AUGGAAUUGCAAAAAUCAAAUAUUUUAACCCAUUUUUAUCUCAGGCUUCUCCACGAAAGUUGUUCACUGUUCUGCUGCCUCAUGUGGGAGUCAGACACGUCUAAGUCAGCCUUCCCUUUGGCGAGACUGGGCUCUGGGGUUCAGCCAGGCGGGGGCCACAGCUGGGCCGACACGCCAAGGACUGUCUGCUGCACCAGCUUCCAGUGGCUCCUGUGCUUAUUCAGUUUUGGCCAAAGAAAACAGCCAGGAGCUAAGGACCAGAUCUCAAAAACGAAGAGAAGUAUGCAUCCAGAGGAGCUUCUGGAAUUAGGCUCCAACAUAACGCCUGUCAACCAAAGUCAACAUUUAUGUAUCAAUACUGAACACCGAAGAAUUGAUGCGUUUGAACUGUGGUGUUGGAGAAGACUCUUGAGAGUCCCUUGGACUGCAAGGAGAUCCAACCAGUCCAUUCUGAAGAUCAGCCCUGGGAUUUCUUUGGAAGGAAUGAUGCUAAAGCUGAAACUCCAGUACUUUGGCCACCUCAUGCAAAGAGUUGACUCAUUGGAAAAGACUUUGAUGCUGUGAGGGAUUGGGGGCAGGAGAAGAAGGGGACGACAGAGGAUGAGAUGGCUGGAUGGCAUCACUGACUCGAUGAACAUGAGUCUGAGUGAACUCCGGGAGUUGGUGAUGGACAGGGAGGCCUGGCGUGCUGCAAUUCAUGGGGUCGCAAAGAGUCGGACACGACUGAGCGACUGAACUGAACUGAACUGAACUGACCCUUCCUCCUUUAAUUCUAACCUAUUGUCCUGGUAAAUUUUGGAAAAGUGAACUUCGGCAUGGUUGAGCUACUGUGAGAGUAUAUUGCUGGCUUCGUGUUCACUACAUGAAAAAAUGAAAUCCUAACUGCCUUAGCUCUGCAAAGGAAGCCUGGAAGAUGGGCCAAACGUUUUUCCAGAUCCAAAACUGGAGACACAUAUCUGGCACAGUGCUAGAAUUGAAUGAUGUAACACGUAAAAAUACAAGAUACUGGGUAAAUUUAAAUGCAGAGAAAUGAUGACAAAUAUUAGUAUAUCUCUGGUAAUAUUGGGGAUAUACCUGCAUUAAAUGAAUUACUUUUUUAUUUAUCUAAAAUUCAAAUUUAGCUGCAUAUUCUGUAGUUUCUCUGGCAUUCCCAGUUGGAUCCAAAGCUUGAACGUUGGUGUGAAUUUAGAAGAAAUUAUAAAAGAAUGGGAAAUUACAGAAAAUGGGUAGGCCCAGCCCAAAUAUUUCAUGUUAGAAUGUUUGUGGCUAUCUUGAAUAUGAAAAUAACCAACACUGAUUGAGUAAUUCUAGGCAGGAGUCUCUAAGAUAAGCACAUUACAUGCAGGCACUCGACAGCUGACCACGACUCCAUGAGAUGGGAACAAACAGGGCCCCCAUUUUGCAGAACGGAAGACCGAGGUCUGGAUAGCUUACAACCAAUAAGUGGAUUUUUACUAAAGCUGGAGCACUUUAGGGAUCCAGAGGCCCAGACCACUUGGUAUGUCUUAUAGAUCACAGGGGCACAGAGACUGAAGGUCACUUGCCCCUGGUCCUGCAGUAGUCUUCAACAGAACCAGGGUUCUGACCCUGUCUGUGUAUUUCACCAGUUCUCUCUUAAUUCCUUCCAAAUCCAUACCAGCUUUGAUCCAACUCAAGUUCCAUUCAGCCAGCUUUAGAGAAAUUGAAUUUCCUUAAUAGGUUUUCCUAGACAAAUCACUUGAGAGCCAGGAAAACUCCAGGAGAGAAUCAGGGAGAUGUUAGGAGUCCUCCGUUCUACUUCUGGCUCUGCCACAAACAGGCUGUGCAGACCUGGGACAAUUGCUUGCUCUCUCAGAGGCUCAGUGUAGGGUCUGGCAAACAAAGGAGGUCCUACCCAGGGACCCACAAAGUCCCUUCUGCAGUGGCAGGCUGCAAUUCUAAGAUGCCCAAUCUCCCGCAAGCUUCUGCACUGGAGCCCAGCCCUCUCACGCCCAGCAUCUUAGGCUGAUACAAUAGACAGCAGACAAAUCCCAUUACAGACCACUCUGCGAGUCUCCACUUUGUCACUGACUGUUAUGUGACCUUAAAUAGGCAUUCUCUCCUAAUCUCCCUGGGCCUGGCCUCUCCUAUUAGCAGCUGGAGACAAGGAUAUUUACCUGUAAUAAAGCUCUUUGAGCUCCUCAGAUAAAGAGCUUUGCAUUAACAAAGCUCAAAUCGGAUUUUUUUUUUUAAAUGGACCAGCACACUGGCUUUGUUUUGUGUUUUUGUGUUUCUUUCCCUCCUUACACUCUACAGAAGUGCAAAGUCGUGUUUGCCUUCCAAAUUCUCUCCGGUUUAAUUCAUCUGUGUGCUUCUGGGUUUGAAUAGGUCUUUUUUCCUAGACCAGAUGUUCCCAAACUUUCUCGGUUCAUAGUAUCUUGGUAAUUUUUUCAUUAUGUCCUUCACAAUUGUGUUUAUGAAGUCAUUCACUUCAAAAAAGUUAGUAUUUAUGCCCUAACAAGUUAGCAUCAUUUGAAAAAUAUAACACUCAUGAAUUUAAAGAAAAAAAGUAUUUCAUGCUUUAGUAAACCCAAUUACUUACUAAUGGGAUAUGUAUGCCUGUUGUACCCUACACAAUUUCUCAAACCUGGGAAUCAGAUUGAUCACUCAAUUUCAUCUUCCACAUUGAUUAUUUGUGAGGUACCUGUUUGUUUGGUUUUGUCUUUUAACAUGGUCAGUCUCAAAAACCCAGCUUCUCAAAGACAUGGAAUUGUUGAAAUUAAUAUAGUGAGUGAGGCAAGAAGGGGUAAGCUCAUCCUCUACUCUAUCACCAGGCACACCUGCUUUUAAAAAAUAUUGCCAAAGAAAGUUCUUCACAUACAAAAGAAAUGACAACAGAAAGAAACUUGGAGAAUCAGCAGUAAAGAAAUAGCAAUAGAAAUGGUAAAAAUCUGGGUAUAUAUAAUAGAUUAUUCUCCUCUUGGUUUUCAAAACUGUGUUCAAUGACUGAAAUAUAGUCUACUGUGGUCCUCAACAUACGUAUUGGUUAUAUUUACAAAAACUAUAUUAUAAAGGGAAAAAGAUAAAGGGACAUAACUGGUAAGAUUUCUAGGUUAUGUUUACUGGAAGUCAUAAACUGUUGAUACUAGUAGAGUAUUAUAUACAUAUACAUUACAUAAAUGCUGAAUAUAUAAGAUAAUAUAUUCACUUAAAAUAUGAGUAUAAUGUAACAUAUUACAAUAUUUCACAAGUAUACUGUCAAUAUUAUUAAUAUAACCAUAUUCAAGAUUAUAACAUAUUCUAUGACUAUUGAAUAUUGCAUAUAUAAAAAUUCAUAGAGCAAACACUAAAAGUUAAUACAAAGAGAUACAAACAAAUCCUAUAGAUAAAAGUAGAAUAUAAAAACAUGUUUAAGGCCUGCAGGGAGAUAAGCAAAGGGAAACAAAGGAGUCAAAGAUGAAACUAAGCACUCAGUGAAUAUCAUUUGAGUGGAUGAAUAAAUGAAUGAUCACGGGUUUUGGUUUAUCAGGAGAUUGUUUGCUCUUAAAUAAGAAAGGUGUUUUAUAUGCUACAUUAUUAACCUCAUUCCUAUAACAUCUUCUAUCUAAAAAGGUGCUUUUACCAUCACUUACAUUUCUAUGUGGCUAUGACACCAACCUUGGAUGUAUUCAUCAUCAACACAUCUUCUGGAUGAAAGAACUGAAACAAAAGAAGACAUAUAACGACAAGAUUUGAAACAUCUAAGUGAGAGAUUCUGGAACUUAUUCUAGCAAGACAUUUCAUUUUAACAGAAAAUACAGCAUAUUUACAUCUAACGCAUGAAAAUAUUUAUACAAAUAGGCAACACAAAACAAUCAUGCUAUAUACAAAACAACCAAUCCUCAUGUACAGCAAAUGUUGAGAAAAGGCAUCCUUGUUUUAAGGUUAUAUGGAAUUACAUGAGGUGUAUCUAUUUCAGUCUACGUUGAACCUCAUUUGAAGAUAAUGUCAAAAGCCUCAAUUUGAGACCUCUGUUUUUCUAACUGAAGUAUAAUUACAUCUAAUAAAAUGCACAUAUUUUAGGUUUAUUGUUUGAUGAGUUCUGACAAAUGUAUAUAUACAUGUAACUAACAUUCCAAUCAAAAUGUAGUCAUUACCGUUACCCUACAAAGUUUCUUCACAAACUCUAUUCUGUCUAUCCACUCACUCCCUGCUUCCAAAAAGCAACUACUAUUCUGGUUUCUAUCCCCAUAGACCAGUUUGCCUGAUCUUGAACUUCAUACAAAACUUCAGUACAAAAGCACUGUUUUGUGCUGAUUUCUUAUAUACUAUGCUCAAUAUGUAAUAUAGUGUAAAUAGUACAUAUAUAUAAGGCUUCCCUGGUGGCUCAGAAGAAUCCACCUGCAAUCCGGUUCCCAUCCUUGGGUCAGGAAGAGCCCCUGGAGAAGGGAAUGGCUACCCACUUCAGUAUUCUUGCCUGAGAAGUCUUACGGACAGAGGAGCCUGGUGGGCUACAGUCCAUGGGAUCACAAAGAGUCAAACAGAACUGAGCUACUAAGCACAACUCUUUUGAAUCAUCCCUGGUGGUUCAAAUGGUAAAGAAUAUGCCUGCAAUGCAGGAGACCCAGGUUCAAUGCCUGGUUCUAGAAUGGUCCCUGGGUUAAGAAGAUCUCUUGGAGAAGGGAUUGGCAACCCACAAUGGCACCCCACUCCAGUACUCUUGCCCAGAAAAUCCCAUGGACGGAGGAGCCUGGUGGGCUGCAGUCCAUGGAGUCGCUAGGAGUCGGACCGACUGAGCGACUUCACUUUCACUUUUCACUUUCAUGCAUUGGAGAAGGAAAUGGCAACCCACUCCAGUGUUCCUGCCUGGAGAAUCCCGGGGAUGGGGGAGUCUGGUGGGCUGCUGUCUCUGGGGUCGCACAGAGUCAGACACGACUGAAGCGACUCAGCCACAGCAGCAGCCAGUACUCUUGCCUGGAGAAUCCCAUCAACAGAGGAGCCUGGUGGGCUGCAGUCCAUGGGGUCACAAGGAGUUGGAUACAACUGAGGUGACAGCACACACUCAUUCUGUUUUCACGUUUACGAAUUUCUGGGAUGUGAGUCAACGUGGACUUAAUUUAAAAUAAUGUGAAAUAAAUUAUAGGAUAGGUGGUGUUGUUCGGGAAAUGUUAAAUUCUGGUGUGGGAGUUAAGAGUGCAGAGGCCAUGGUCACAGUUCCCUGGGUCCCUGGGUGUCUCCAUUCACUAGAUGAACGGGUAGUAAACUAAAGCCUCAGUUUUCUCAUUUGUAAAAUGGAUAUGAUUUUACUAAUCCUCAGUGGACUGCGGUGUGAAUAAAGC